rnacentral:lncRNA from 1 species
GGCUGGCGUUAAAGAGGAACAAUCUCAUGCGGACGGGCCUAGCGGAAGUCCGGUAGACCCGAUCGUACUCGUGCAUCAUGUGCUCCAAGUCGUCGUCGUUGGUGACAGAGAUCAGGGCGUCGAGGUCUUCGCCGGGGAGCUGGUACUUGAACGACACGUCGGUUUCGGAGAGGGAGGAGAGCUUGGAGACGAGAGCGGCGAACUUGGUGCUGCGAUCAACGGCGAGGAUCUUAGUCUCACCGCCAACGUAGCAGAGCUGGUUGUCGUGCGGGCGGGGGAGGAUCUUGCCGCCAUAGC